AAAUUUUUUCAUCUUCUCAAGUUCUUCUAAUAAAAAAUUGUUUCUCGUUUCAAAAACCUUCUUCAUCUUCUCAAGUUCUUCCCUCAUCUUCGUAUCUCUGAUCUCUCUCUCUCCCCCUGGAGCUCGGUCUCUCUCAUUUCUCUCACCGUGGCGUCGCCGUUGCUCUCUGUCUCGUCAUCGUCUUGCACAUAGUCGCGCGCAUUCGUUGCGCUCUUCGUCGCCGGCGGCAGAAGCAACAGGUUCAGGGGCUCGUCGUCUUCUUGCUUCGAGUGUCUCCGUCAGCCUCCUUCGCGCAAUCAGAAGCUGCUUCAUGAUUUGACCACACAACGGAACAUGCACGUGGCUGGGUUGGGAUUGAAGAAAUCCCAGUCAUUCGGAUCUUUGGUUUGUGAUUCAAACUCAAUUGGGGUUCAGCUGAAAAUGUCGCUAUAGAUGUUCAAUUUUGAUUAUAUUCUAUCACCUUCAAUUUCGAUAGUGAAGGUUUGAAGCCUUGAUUCGAAGGCUUGGGUAAAGUGGGGACAGAGACGCCAGUUCAUUCCCCAGAACAAGCUAGCCUUGGGAAGAGCUUAAUUUGCUCAUGCAGGUGGAUCUUGCCUCUGCUCUGUCUUUCCUAGUCGUUUUAUCAUUGUUGAUUUGAGGAGCUGGUUGAUUUAGCCAACUCAGAUUCAACUGCCACUUCUCAGUACCAAUUUAGCAUUACCGUUUUUGAGCUCUAUAAUCAACAGACAGAGAACUAUGGCAUACAAUUCUACAGCUUGCUUGAUAAUCGUGGAGUUUAUGAGAGUGUUGCAACGUCUGAAAGUUUAAGCAUGGGAGAUUUAAGCAUUGCAAAUUCGGCAAGCGUUGGAAGCAUGGCAUGUUCAAGCGAUGGAAGUGAUACUGUGGCCAAUAUGGUGUAUGGUCAUGACUCAUGAGGGUUGUAUUCUGGGAUGAAUAAUGUUUACUAUUAGCAACUUAGUUUUUGUUGCAAUGCAUGCAAUGAAAUAGUUUAACACUAUUUUGUCAAUUGUUUUUGUUUUGCCUUUUGUGAUUAUGUGUGUGAUUCCUGUAUAUGUAUAUAAGAAAGCCAUCUUCCUUGA